rnacentral:rRNA from 1 species
CCUACGGGGUGCACCAGUAGGGAAUCUUCGGCAAUGGACGAAAGUCUGACCGAGCAACGCCGCGUGAGUGAAGAAGGUUUUCGGAUCGUAAAACUCAGUUGUUAGAGAAGAACAAGUAGGAGAGUGACUGCUCUUACCUUGACGGUAUCUAACCAGAAAGCCACGGCUAACUACGUGCCAGCAACCGCGGUAAUACGUAGGUGGCAAGCAUUGUCCGGAUUUAUUGGGCGUAAAGCGAGCGCAGGCGGUCUUUUAAGUCUGAUGUGAAAGCCCUCGGCUCAACCGAGGAAGGUCAUUGGAAACUGGAGGACUUGAGUGCAGAAGAGGAGAGUGGAAUUCCAUGUGUAGCGGUGAAAUGCGUAGAUAUAUGGAGGAGCACCAGUGGCGAAGGCGACUCUCUGGUCUGUAACUGACGCUGAGGCUCGAAAGCGUGGGGAGCAAACAGGAUUAGAUACCCGGGUAGUC